CUCGCCUCCCCCUCAGCCGCCUCCUCUCUCCCCGCUCGUCCCCUCCUCUCCCCCACGCCGCCCCUCCUCUUCCCGCUCGUCUCCUCCUCUCCUCUUCCCUCGACGUCGUCCCUGCUUCCCUCUCUGACCCGGGCCAGAGCCUCGCCGGCCGCUCCCCCCAGCCGGUGUCCCUCUCCAGAUGCAUCCUCCACGAGAUCCGGGUACGGAGAGAGUCAUGGUGGCAGGGGCAGAUGCGUGAGGAGGAGAAGGCCGUGGUCAUGGUGGCGCGACGGAGGUCGUGGCUCGCCCCCGCCGCUUCUCUCGCGCCCCCCUUUUCCCUGCCCCCUCCCCGGCGUCCUUGCCUCUGCCAUGGCCUCCACCCUCCCUCUCCAUCGACCUUCCUGAGCUCUCCAUCUUCGGGGGUCGCCACCAUCCGAUGCCGCACGCCAUGAUUCCAGAUCGGCUGCAGGUUGAGAAGGAGCGGUUGCUGCAGUGAGGGCAGCAGGGUCCCCACCCCGGUGGCUGCGUGCAGAGGGGGAGUGGUCAAGGACGGUUGCCAGUUCAUGGAGGAGAGAUGCAACACAGCCGUGAGCUCUUUCUUCCUCCUUUCCUCAUCUUCCCAUGGUGAACUGAGCUCAUACUUCCUUUUUUUUCUUCUAAUUGUGCACAUAGUGUUUGGGUUGCAGUUGAUUCCUACACUCAGUUUCAGUGGUGGCAUGGUGUCCAUCUCCAGGCCGGUUGCAACCUUCUGCCCCCAUCAUUCCCUGUAUUUUUUUUUCAUAAUUUACACACUAAGUUGUAGAUUGGUCGGAUCUAUUGGCAUUAGGCAGCACAAGAAUAACAAUAUUUGUCUGCUUUUUCAUGUGCAGGUUCAGCAGCGGCAAUGCUCAAGAUAGAGUUAGGCCGGUCUGAAUAAACAGAGAUGAGCAGCAGCAGGGUUGGGUGCCCCAUUUGUACGCAUUGCAUUGGUUAAUUUUGUUGUGCUCAUGUUUCCGUUUCAUGCCUCAAGCUCAAGACGCGCGAGGUGAUGGUUUGGUUGGGAUGGUGCUGCUGCUCCGCAGUACGAGCUUCUGCACUGUGUUUUGCUCUCUCAACUUGCCUCCCCUUGAAUGAAUGGACGCAGAAUAAUGUGUUGACAAGCUACAUGAGGUUGGGCUUUGCGAUUGCACCCUGUUUGUGUGCUGGCAGGAAGGAAGAACUAAGAAAAAGUGUGUUGUUUCGCUGGAUUCUUCUUCCUUUGAUUUCACCAAACUUUGUGGCAGUGGUUGGCUUCUCGACUCCGACACUCUGUAUGGACUAGCCCGGUCUUUGCCCAGAAGUUCUAGAAGGUACAAUGCUGAAAAUUCAGUAGAACAUGGUGCUCCUAUAAAUACUGAUAAUCCGGAACCUGGCAACCAUUGGCUUUUGAAGUUUGGCAGUUUGUUAAAGAGCAAAUUGAUCCAAGUGAAUUGAUCCAAGUAAAGAGCAAAACUGAAGUACCAAUGUACCUCUUAUAAAUUUGGUCACUAUUGUGCUCUCUGACAGGAAUGCAAGUUUUGUGAUAAAGGGUCCACAGCCAAAGCACCACUCGAGUUUCAUAUGCAGUACAAAGACGAGGCUAGAAAUUGAUCUUAAGUCUGAAGGAACGUCACUUUUGUGAGUUUUGUUUCUCUACUCCCUCGUAUGCAGUACAAAGACGAGGCUAGAAAUUGACCUCAAGUCUGAAGGAACGGCACUUUUGUGAGGAAAGAAGAACAAGGAUUAGCAAGCAGCUAAGGAGGCUGCAACACCUCGUGCCCAACAUGGACAAGCAAACAAACACUUCAGACAUGCUGCGUAUUGCUGUAGACUACAUCAAAGUGGGUGCUGCAGGACCAAAUUGAGGUUGUUGAUCUGGAGAUGACUGGCUCAACUGAGACUGUACCACUUCACCGCCUUGACGAAUCGAAGGAUUACUUAGUAAUUUUUCUGGUGACACCAAUCAGGCCAGAUUGUAAGCCCUUCCCUGCAGUUUGUUUGAUCAGGUUACCCCAUUGUUCAAAGUGGAUAUGCAUGGUGCUUGUGGAUUCAUGCUAUUUGGACCGAAUUUGGCUUUUUGACCUGCACAACAUGGCGGUAGUGUAGAAAAGAUCUAAACAGAUUCUGAAUUAACCCAACUAGACAUGGAAACCAAGAACGACCUAUCGGCUGGGUCCAGUUCCUCAUCUUUGUCUCCGAGCAAAAUGAUCAUCUGGAAGCGGAUGCUAUCAAGAUCAUGCCAAAGGCAGAGCAUGCCAAAGGCGAUGCUCAUUCCCGUUCUUAGUGAGAUGGGUUUAUUCGAUGCAAAGUAUGAGCAUUGCAGACUCUGGCGAGCUGUUGAAGGUCGAUGAGGAGGACGCCGCCACCACCGUCAUCAGGCUGGUCCACAUCCACGCGCUGCUCGGCGUCGCCAGGUCACCGGCACAACUCCUCACGCCCAGGUCGUUCAACAUUUUCUUUCGCUUUUGGUGUGUCGCAUUUAGAGUCUUUCUUUCCCAUUUUACCGUGUUUGCAUGGUAAGAUGUUUGGUUGGAUUUGAAGGUUCAUAGCCUUGGGUCCAAAGCUUCAAGCUCUUAUAGAAAUUAGAACUGAGGGCCUUUUAAAAUGAGUCCUGCAUAAUAGUGUUGUUCAGUGGGAUGCAGAUUGUUUGGUAGUCUGAUCGGCUAUCCUUGGUGCUGAUUUAUGUAUUGAUUUCAUCAUCAUAUGACUACAAUAAAGAAGUUAUGUGUAUAAAUAUUAUGAUCUGCUGAUACUUUGCAUCAGUGAUUUCAAUUCUAUUGGCCCUCCUUAAGAUUGCUUGGGAA